GACGAACGCUGGCGGCGUGCUUAACACAUGCAAGUCGAACGGAAAGGCCCUGCUUGCAGGGUACUCGAGUGGCGAACGGGUGAGUAACACGUGGGUGAUCUGCCCUUCACUUCGGGAUAAGCCUGGGAAACUGGGUCUAAUACCGGAUAGGAGCCAUUUUUAGUGUGAUGGUUGGAAAGUUUUUUCGGUGUAGGAUGAGCUCGCGGCCUAUCAGCUUGUUGGUGGGGUAAUGGCCUACCAAGGCGGCGACGGGUAGCCGGCCUGAGAGGGUGGACGGCCACAUUGGGACUGAGACACGGCCCAGACUCCUACGGGAGGCAGCAGUGGGGAAUAUUGCACAAUGGGCGCAAGCCUGAUGCAGCGACGCCGCGUGGGGGAUGACGGCCUUCGGGUUGUAAACUCCUUUCGCUAGGGACGAAGCUUUUUGUGACGGUACCUAGAUAAGAAGCACCGGCUAACUACGUG
rnacentral:rRNA from 1 species